CACAGAACUAAGGGUCCCCCUUGUCUGCCUGCUGCAACAUUUCUCACUGUGCUCAGCAGCCAAGACCAGCUUGAUCUCUGGAGCUGCUUUCUGACCCUGGUGAGUGAACUCAUGACCUCAUCUUAGCAAAGUUGGAGUCAGAUAAGAUAAGGGCUCAGGAGCAGGUUCCAGCCUUCUCUGCUCUGUGACUGAGCAAACCAAACUUCCUACACCCGCUUCCUCGACUGUAACCACAGUAUCCACCCUAUGAGGUGCCUGAAAAUCUAAAAACGCAUUUUGGCCACAUAGUGGGUGCUCAAUAAAUAUUAUUCUAUAGUCUCCAUA